UCCGGUUUGUCACCGGCAGUCUCACUAGAGUGCCCUUUCGUAGCAACUAACGACAAGGGUUGCGCUCGUUGCGGGACUUAACCCAACAUCUCACGACACGAGCUGACGACAGCCAUGCAGCACCUAACUACAGGUUCUCCGAAGAGCACCCCGAUGUUUCAACCAGGUUCCUGCAUUUUCUAGCCUAGGUAAGGUUCUUCGCGUUGCGUCGAAUUAAACCACACGCUCCACCGCUUGUGCGGGCCCCCGUCAAUUCCUUUGAGUUUCAACCUUGCGGUCGUACUCCCCAGGCGGGGUACUUCCUGCGUUAGCGCCGGCACCCAGAGGGUCGCUCCCCCAGGCACCUAGUACCCAUCGUUUACGGCGUGGACUAC
rnacentral:misc_RNA from 1 species